rnacentral:lncRNA from 7 species
AGGCAGGUGGAGAAUGUUGGCUUCUAGACCCAGGGGCAUUUGGCUGCGUGUUACCUGCCUGGAAAGAGAGAGGAGCGAGCCCCAGCUGAGCAGCUGGGCUUGAUGCUGUGAACACAGGUGCCAAGGCAGGGCUGUUCCCACCUGCAGCUGCUUUUGCCUUGGGCUGCUGAAAAGGCCGGUGUGGAAGGGAGGCUACAGGGCUAUGGCUGCCUUGUCCCAGAAAGCUGCAAGAUGAAGUCUUUUGUACUGCAGAGGGAAGCUUUGAAGAAUCCCAGUGAUGUCUGAGUCCCUGAAACUUGUGCCACACAAGAGCACAGCUUGCAGUCACUGAGGAAUACAGCCGUGGAAGAAUAACAGAGAAAGGCUUCAGGAGCUAUGCUGACCAGGCUUUAAGACUGGCUGUUGGAAGAAAGCCUUCCUCAGAAGUUGGCACCGAUUUGUCAAAUCAUGUUUUUUCCCCUGAUCUAAGCAUGCCAGCUCAGCUGGAGCAGCUUUGAACGAGGGUGGUCUGCAACAGCUCGCUGAAACCGGUCGUUGGAGGACAAUAUUCCCACCCCUGUUUGUACUGCAGCAAUAUUUCACUGGAUUAGCACUGGAUGCAGCUCUGGCAAACUAAUGUACAUCCAUACCAAUUUGCGCAACUGUCUGCAGGCAGGUGACAUAUGGUGCAACUUUCUGCUGCUGCAAGCAGAGAAAGUCAGAUGCAGCCCACGGAAAUACUGAGUUAGGAAGGUGUGGCUUUCUGAUGGUUCACACAGGUCCUCAGGCUGAAAUCUGAAAGACAGAGCUGCCUCAGCUUCACCCAUCUCCUUCUCUCGUGGAAAAUAAAGUGGCUGCAGAGGGCAUUUUCUUGGGACUUUUUCUCAUAACAAAACCACGGCAUUUCCUGCUGCAUUCCCUGAGAUAAGAGCAUAUGGAUCUGAGAGAAAUGAAGGGGAAGUAAAAGAACUGCAGCUGAUGUAUUUGUCCUCUACUGAUGGAAGUCAAGAAAGUUUAUCCAGUAACACUUCAAGCAUUUGGGAGUGCAAACAAAAAAGUGAACUGCUGUCUUCAAAUACCACUACUUUUUUCUUUUGGCAGUUAGCAGGUUUAGAAAAGCCUCUGUGAUUCUCAGCUAGAAGUAAAGUUUCAUGUGCGU